CCCCUCCAAAUAAACAGAGCCUGUGGGCCUCCAGGUUGGUCAGCGUUCUGCUCAGUAACACACAGCUGGUCUCCAGCCUCCUGCACAGACUCUGGGAUCUGUUCCAUAACCAGGGCUCUUCACUGAGCGCUGCACACUUACUGGGCCUGUCAGCCUUUGUGGUCCAUCUGCACGCCUCCAUGUCCCACAGUCCUCUGGUGCAGCUGGUCCCGCCCCUUUUUCCUGAGCCAGUAUCUGUUGGAGAAGCUCUCAGCGCAGCACUGCUCUGCAGCACACACACUGACAUGCUCUUCUGUG